AGGGCACCACCAGGAGUGGAGCCUGCGGCUUAAUUUGACUCAACACGGGAAAACUCACCCGGCCCGGACACUGGAAGGAUUGACUGAUUGAGAGCUCUUUCUUGAUUCAGUGGGUGGUGGUGCAUGGCCGUUCUUAGUUGGUGGAGCGAUUUGUCUGGUUAAUUCCGAUAACGAACGAGACUCUAGCCUACUAAAUAGAUCGUUGGCUUACAAACGCCAAUGGGACUUCUUAGAGGGACAGGCGGCGAUUCAGCCGCACGAAACAGAGCAAUAACAGGUCUGUGAUGCCCUUAGAUGUCCGGGGCCGCACGCGCACUACACUGAAGUGAUCAGCGUGCAUUCUCAGCCUACUCUGCCAAGAGUGGGAAACCCAAUGAACCUUCUUCGUGAUUGGGAUAGGAGAUUGUAAUUAUUCUCCUUGAACGAGGAAUUCCCAGUAAGCGCGAGUCAUAAGCUCGCGUUGAUUACGUCCCUGCCCUUUGUACACACCGCCCGUCGCUACUACCGAUUGAAUGUUUU
rnacentral:rRNA from 1 species